AAUCGAACCCGGAGAUAGCUGGUUCUCCUCGAAAUAGCUUUAGGGCUAGCCUCAUGGAUCAUUGGUGGGGGUAGAGCACUGAAUGUGCGCGGGGGCCACAAAGCCUACCAAACGCUAUCAAACUUCGAAUACCAUACAAUGCAGACCAUGGGAGUCAGUCCGCGAGAGAUAAGUUCCGCGGGCAAAAGGGGAACACCCCAGAUCAACCGCUAAGGUCCCCAAGUUCACGUUAAGUGGAGAAGGAUGUGGAAUUGCACAGACAACCAGGAUGUUGGCUCAGAAGCAGCCACACAUUUAAAGAGUGCGUAAUAGCUCACUGGUCGAGUGAUUGUGCGCCGAAGAUGUCCGGGGCUAAACGUGACACCGAAGCGAUGGGUGCGUCUGAAGAAGAUGCGCGGUAGAGGAGCAAUGUGCAGAGGCAGAAGCCGUAUCGAGAGGCACGGUGGACACUGCACAAGAGAGAAUGCCGGUAUGAGUAGCGAGAGGCAUGCGAGAAACAUGCCCGUCGAAAGCCCAAGGUUUCCUGGGGAAGGUUCAUCCGCCCAGGGUAAGUCGGGGCCUAAGCCGAGGACGGAAGUCGUAGGCGAUGGACAGCAGGUGUAGAUUCCUGCACUACCGAUGGAAUGAAGCAGUGACACAGAAGGAUAACUCGAGCAGGGUGAUGGUCAACCCUGUGCAAGCAUCAAGGUUGGGUUGUAGUGAAGUACGCAACCCUAUAAGCUGAGAUGUGAUGCGGACCGAAAUUUCAGUAGGGAAGCGAGUGAGUUCACGCUGGCGAGAAAAGCUGCUAGUACAUCCAAAGGUACCCGUACCGGAAACCGACGCAGGUGGGCGAGGAGAGAAUCCUGAGACGAACGGGAGAACCCUUGUUAAGGAACUCGGCAAAAUGACCCCGUAACUUCGGGAUAAGGGGUGCCUGCGAGAGCAGGCCGCAGAGAAUAGUCACAAGCGACUGUUUAGCAAAAACACAGGUAUCUGCGAAAGCGAGAGCUGACGUAUAGGUGCUGACACCUGCCCGGUGCUGGAAGGUUAAGGGAACAUGUUAGAGCAAUCGAAGCAUCGAACCGAAGCCCCAGUAAACGGCGGCCGUAACUAUAACGGUCCUAAGGUAGCGAAAUUCCUUGUCGGGUAAGUUCCGACCCGCACGAAUGGUGUAACGACUUGUGAGCUGUCUCAACAGGGGGCCCGGUGAAAUUGAAGUAUGGGUGAAGAUGCCCAUUACCCGCGACUGGACGGAAAGACCCCGUAGAGCUUUACUGCAGCCUGAUAUUGAGUUUCGGUAACUGAUGCACAGGAUAGGUGGGAGUCUGAGAGACAUGGGUUUCGGCUCAUGAGGAGACGAUGUUGGGAUACCACUCUUCGGUUACUGAAAUUCUAACAUAGCUCUGUGAAACCAGAGGAUGGACAGUGUCAGGUGGACAGUUUGACUGGGGCGGUCGCCUCCGAAAGAGUAACGGAGGCGCCCAAAGGUACCCUCAGAAUGGAUGGAAACCAUUCGAAGAGCGCAAAGGCAGAAGGGUGCCUGACUGCGAGAGUGACAACUCGAGCAGAGACGAAAGUCGGGCUUAGUGAUCCGGCGGUAUUGAGUGGAAAAGCCGUCGCUUAACGGAUAAAAGCUACCUCGGGGAUAACAGGCUGAUCUCCCCCAAGAGUCCACAUCGACGGGGAGGUUUGGCACCUCGAUGUCGGCUCAUCGCAUCCUGGGGCUGUAUUCGGUCCCAAGGGUUUGGCUGUUCGCCAAUUAAAGCGGCACGCGAGCUGGGUUCAGAACGUCGUGAGACAGUUCGGUCCCUAUCCAUCGUGGGCGUAGGAGUCAUGAGAGGAGCUGUUCCUAGUACGAGAGGACCGGAAUGGACGCACCACUGGUGCAACUGUUGUCGUGCCAACGGCAUAGCAGGGAAGCGAAGUGCGGAUGGGAUAAACGCUGAAGGCAUCUAAGCGUGAAGCCCACCUCAAGAAUAAGUGU
rnacentral:rRNA from 1 species